rnacentral:rRNA from 1 species
UACGGGGGGUGCGAGCGUUGUCCGGAAUCACUGGGCGUAAAAGGCGCGUAGGUGGUUUGAUAAGGGUGUGGUGAAAGUCCGGAGCUCAACUCCGGAUCUGCCGUGCCGACUGUCAAACUCGAGGGCUGUAGAGGCAGACGGAAUUCCGGGUGUAGCGGUGGAAUGCGUAGAGAUCCGGAGGAAGACCGGUGGCGAAGGCGGUCUGCUGGGCAGUUUCUGACACUGAGGCGCGACAGCGUGGGGAGCAAACAGGG